GCCUAAAGAGAAGCUUGCGGCUGAUUAGCUUGUUGGUAGGGUAAUGGCCUACCAAGGCGACGAUCAGUAUCUGGUUUGAGAGGACGAUCAGACACACUGGAACUGAGACACGGUCCAGACUCCUACGGGAGGCAGCAGUAGGGAAUUUUCCGCAAUGGGCGAAAGCCUGACGGAGCAAUACCGCGUGAGGGAUGACUGCCUAUGGGUUGUAAACCUCUUUUUUCAGGGAGGAAUAAAUGACGUGUACCUGAAGAAUAAGCAUCGGCUAACUCCGUGCCAGCAGCCGCGGUAAGACGGAGGAUGCAAGUGUUAUCCGGAAUCACUGGGCGUAAAGCGUCUGUAGGUGGCUCGACAAGUCAACUGUUAAAUCUUGAAGCUCAACUUCAAAAUCGCAGUCGAAACUAUCGGACUAGAGUAUAGUAGAGGUAAAGGGAAUUUCCAGUGGAGCGGUGAAAUGCGUAGAGAUUG
rnacentral:rRNA from 1 species